GCGGGCCGUAGCGCAGAGGUCGUCGCACCCUUUUCUCAGAAGGGGGGACGCUGGUUCGAAUCCAGUCGGUCUGCA
rnacentral:tRNA from 1 species